UGGGGAAUUUUGGACAAUGGGCGCAAGCCUGAUCCAGCCAUGCCGCGUGCAGGAUGAAAGCCUUCGGGUUGUAAACUGCUUUUGUACGGAACGAAAAGGUGCCUUCUAAUAAAGGGCGCUCAUGACGGUACCGUAAGAAUAAGCACCGGCUAACUACGUGCCAGCAGCCGCGGUAAUACGUAGGGUGCGAGCGUUAAUCGGAAUUACUGGGCGUAAAGCGUGCGCAGGCGGUUUUGUAAGACAGAGGUGAAAUCCCCGGGCUCAACCUGGGAACUGCCUUUGUGACUGCAAGGCUGGAGUGCGGCAGAGUGGGAUGGAAUUCCGCGUGUAGCAGUGAAAUGCGUAUGUAUGCGGAGGAACACCGAUGGCGAAGGCAAUCCCCUGGGCCUGCACUGACGCUCAUGCACGAAAGCGUGGGGAGCAAACA
rnacentral:rRNA from 1 species